rnacentral:rRNA from 1 species
AUACGGAGGGUGCAAGCGUUGUUCGGAAUUACUGGGCGUAAAGGGCACGUAGGCGGCUUAAUAAGUCAGAUGUGAAAGCCCCGGGCUUAACCUGGGAACUGCAUUUGAAACGGUUAGGCUAGAGUUUGAUAGAGGGGAGUGGAAUUUCCGGUGUAGCGGUGAAAUGCGUAGAGAUCGGAAGGAACACCAGUGGCGAAGGCGACUCCCUGGAUUAAAACUGACGCUGAGGUGCGAAAGCGUGGGUAGCAAACAGGAUUAGAAACCCCGGUAGUCC